rnacentral:rRNA from 1 species
GCUAAACAGCUAGCUUAAAUACCAAAAAUUAUCUAUCAACAUUAAAAAUCUUUAUAAAACUACAACAACCCAAAUUAAAACAUUCUACCGCCCAAGUAUGUGAGACAGAAAAGGCACUACAUAAAAGCUAUAGAAAAAGUACCGCAAGGGAAUGCUGAAAGAGAAAUGAAACAAAUCAUUAAAGCCCCACAAAGCAGAGAUUAAACCUCGUACCUUUUGCAUCAUGAUUUAGCUAGACCUUCUGAGCAAAGAGUACUUUAGUUCAAAACCCCGAAACUACGUGAGCUACCCCGAAACAGCCUAUAAAUUAGGGCCAACCCGUCUCUGUGGCAAAAGAGUGGGAAGAUUUCCGGGUAGAGGUGACAAACCUACCGAACCUAGUUAUAGCUGGUUGCCUAAGAAAUGAAUAGAAGUUCAGCCUCACAUUCCUUAACUCAAAAACAAAUUUAAAAUACACGAGACAAAGAAAUAUGUGAGAGUUAGUCAAAGGGGGUACAGCCCCUUUGAAAUAGGACACAACCUCACCAGGAGGUUAAAGAUUAUAUUAAACAAGAUAAAACCGCUCUAGUGGGCCUAAAAGCAGCCAUCAAAACAGAAAGCGUUAAAGCUCUGGCGGAGUAAAAAUCCAUUAUCCAAAUAUACUAUCUAAAACCCCUAACUUUAUUAGGCCAUUCCAUGCCUACAUGGAAGAAAUACUGCUAAAAUGAGUAAUAAGAAAGAACCCCUUUCUCCUAGCCUACGUGUACACUAGAUCGGACCAGCCACUAGUAAUUACCGAACCCAACCAAAGAGGGAAAUGUGAACACCUAAAAUACCAAGAAAACUUCACAUAAAACAAUCGUUAAACCUACACCGGAAGGCAUACAUAGGAAAGACUAAAAGAAAAAGAAGGAACUCGGCAAACACUUACAAGCCUCGCCUGUUUACCAAAAACAUCGCCUCCUGCAAAAAUCAACGUAUAGGAGGUCUUGCCUGCCCAGUGACAAGUUAAACGGCCGCGGUAUUUUGACCGUGCGAAGGUAGCGCAAUCACUUGUCUUUUAAAUGAAGACCUGUAUGAAUGGUGGAACGAGGGCUUAACUGUCUCCCCUUUCAAGUCAAUGAAAUUGAUCUGCCCGUGCAGAAGCGGACAUAAAACUACAAGACGAGAAGACCCUUUGGAGCUUAAGACUUAAGAUCAACUAUGUCAAGAACCUCAAACAAGAUUAAACUAAAUAGCAACUGAUCCCUGUCUUCGGUUGGGGCGACCGCGGGAGAAAACAAAGCUCCCACGCGGACCGGGAUUAUAUCCUAAAACUAAGAGAGACAUCUCUAAGGCACAGAACUUCUGACCACAAAGAUCCGGCCUUUGCGCCGAUCAACGAACCAAGUUACCCUAGGGAUAACAGCGCAAUCCCCUUUAAGAGUCCAUAUCGACAAGGGGGUUUACGACCUCGAUGUUGGAUCAGGACAUCCUAAUGGUGCAGCCGCUAUUAAGGGUUCGUUUGUUCAACGAUUAAAGUCCUACGUGAUCUGAGUUCAGACCGGAGCAAUCCAGGUCAGUUUCUAUCUGUAAUGCCACUUUUCCUAGUACGAAAGGACCGGAAAAAGGGGGCCCAUAUUAUUAAUACGCCCCACCCCUAUUUAAUGCAAUCAACUAAAUUAAAUAAUGAGAGGGCACAACCCUAAAUCGAGAUAAGAUU